UACAGAGGGUGCGAGCGUUGUCCGGAAUCACUGGGCGUAAAGGGCGCGUAGGUGGCGGCCCAAGUCCGUGGUGAAAGCUCGCCGCUUAACGGCGAGUCGGCCACGGAGACUGGGUGGCUCGAGCACUGUAGGGGCAGAUGGAAUUCCGGGUGUAGCGGUGGAAUGCGUAGAGAUCCGGAAGAACACCAGUGGCGAAGGCGGUCUGCUGGGACGGUACUGACGCUGAGGUGCGAAAGCGUGGGGAGCGAACAGG
rnacentral:rRNA from 1 species